rnacentral:rRNA from 1 species
GACGAACGCUGGCGGCGUGCUUAACACAUGCAAGUCGAGCGGUAAGGCCCUUUCGGGGGUACACGAGCGGCGAACGGGUGAGUAACACGUGGGUGACCUGCCCUUAGCUCUGGGAUAAGCCUGGGAAACUGGGUCUAAUACCGGAUAUGACUCCAUGACGCAUGUUGUGGGGUGGAAAGCCUUGUGCGGCUAGGGAUGGGCCCGCGGCCUAUCAGCUUGUUGGUGGGGUGAUGGCCUACCAAGGCGACGACGGGUAGCCGGCCUGAGAGGGCGACCGGCCACACUGGGACUGAGACACGGCCCAGACUCCUACGGGAGGCAGCAGUGGGGAAUAUUGGACAAUGGGCGAAAGCCUGAUCCAGCGAUGCCGCGUGUGUGAAGAAGGCCUGCGGGUUGUAAAGCACUUCAGUAGGGAAGAAAAGCCGAGUGCCAAUACCACUCGGUCUUGACGUUACCUAAAGAAGAAGCACCGGCUAACUCCGUGCCAGCCGCCG